UGCUUCAAACCCUAGAUCCCUUUGUCACCCUACCUCAUCCCCUCCGCCUUUCCACGCCGCUCACUCUAAACCCUUCUCACCCCAACUUAAAUUCAACUCGACCAUCCAUCCUUCUUCGGCCACCAAUCAUGUUCUUCGGUACCACUCUCAACUACCUACCCUAAUAUUAAUCGUUUUAACUCCUCUACAGUCUUCCAUCGGCCAGAGCUUGACAAAUUUUUGUAUUGUAUGACGCAUCGGCUGCCUUGUCCAAAUCGUCGCCUCCAACGCUACUUGUGCGAAUUAUAUCAAGCCUUAGGAAUUGCAUGAGUGUUGCUUAUUUAAGGGAAACGAAGAAAAUAAGAGGUUGAAUCUUUGGGAGCGAAAGAGGAUUUGGAAAGUUAGAUGUGUUCAAUGGCAACAAUAGACGAAUUCAGGAUCCCAAGAGGGUAUGACCAGUAAGAUGGC